rnacentral:tRNA from 1 species
GCCAGCAUGGCCUUGUGGUUUGAGCAUUGGACUAUGACUCUAGAGACCAGGGUUCCAAUUCCUGUGCAACCA